CCUACGUGCGGCAGCAGUGGGGAAUAUUGGACAAUGGGCGAAAGCCUGAUCCAGCCAUGCCGCGUGUGUGAAGAAGGCCUUCGGGUUGUAAAGCACUUUCAGUGGGGAAGACAGCCUUGGGGCUAAUACCCUCGAGGAAGGACAUCACCCACAGAAGAAGCACCGGCUAACUCCGUGCCAGCAGCCGCGGUAAUACGGAGGGUGCGAGCGUUAAUCGGAAUUACUGGGCGUAAAGCGCGCGUAGGCGGUCUGAUAAGCCGGUUGUGAAAGCCCCGGGCUCAACCUGGGAACGGCAUCCGGAACUGUCAGGCUAGAGUGCAGGAGAGGAAGGUAGAAUUCCCGGUGUAGCGGUGAAAUGCGUAGAGAUCGGGAGGAAUACCAGUGGCGAAGGCGGCCUUCUGGACUGACACUGACGCUGAGGUGCGAAAGCGUGGGUAGCAAACAGGAUUAGAUACCCCAGUAGUC
rnacentral:rRNA from 1 species